AGGGGAAUGUUGUCUGGCCCGAAGCCUCUAUUGACAAUGGCCGAAGAUCAAAUUCGGGAGAUGGGUUUAGCGACUUCGGACCAGGCUUCAUUCCCC
rnacentral:pre_miRNA from 1 species